GAUGAACGCUGGCGGCGUGCCUAAUACAUGCAAGUCGAGCGAACAGACGAGGAGCUUGCUCCUCUGACGUUAGCGGCGGACGGGUGAGUAACACGUGGAUAACCUACCUAUAAGACUGGGAUAACUUCGGGAAACCGGAGCUAAUACCGGAUAAUAUAUUGAACCGCAUGGUUCAAUAGUGAAAGACGGUUUUGCUGUCACUUAUAGAUGGAUCCGCGCCGCAUUAGCUAGUUGGUAAGGUAACGGCUUACCAAGGCAACGAUGCGUAGCCGACCUGAGAGGGUGAUCGGCCACACUGGAACUGAAACACGGUCCAGACUCCUAAGGGAGGCAGCAGUAGGGAAUCUUCCGCAAUGGGCGAAAGCCUGAAGGAGCAAAGCCGCGUGAGGGAUGAAGGGCUUCGGAUCGUAAAACUCUGUUAUUAGGGAAGAAAAAAUGUGUAAGUAAAUAUGCACGUCUUGACGGUACCUAAUCAGAAAGCCACGGCUAACUACGUG
rnacentral:rRNA from 1 species